AACGAACGCUGGCGGCAUGCCUAACACAUGCAAGUCGAACGAGACCUUCGGGUCUAGUGGCGCACGGGUGCGUAACGCGUGGGAACCUGCCCUUAGGUUCGGAAUAACUCCCCGAAAGGGGUGCUAAUACCGGAUAAUUUCUUCGGACCAAAGAUUUAUCGCCUUUGGAUGGGCCCGCGUUGGAUUAGCUAGUUGGUAGGGUAAAAGCCUACCAAGGCGACGAUCCAUAGCUGGGCUGAGAGGAUGAUCAGCCACACUGGGACUGAGACACGGCCCAGACUCCUACGGGAGGCAGCAGUGGGGAAUAUUGGACAAUGGGCGAAAGCCUGAUCCAGCAAUGCCGCGUGAGUGAUGAAGGCCUUAGGGUUGUAAAGCUCUUUUACCCGGGAUGAUAAUGACAGUACCGGGAGAAUAAGCUCCGGCUAACUCCGUG
rnacentral:rRNA from 1 species